UUUCGCUCCUAGGAUACCCCCACCCCCAUGCCGUAUUCCUAUUCUUACCCCACGAGCACUAAGAUUACUCAAAUGCCCCGGCGCAGUUUGAAACUUUGCUCUCUUCCGCUCACCCUCCUGACAUCCUAUUCCUCGAACGCCCCUCCCGCCCCCUCCUCCACCUCCUCUCUCCGGCGGAUUCCGGCUGCCAGAGUUCGAUCCCCUCCGGAUUCUGAUGAUCUGAUGGCAUUAGGUUAUAUAUAUUGACUGCUAGCUAGGCCUGAGUACAUGUUGGAAAAGGAUAUUGGGAAGAUGGUAUAGAGCUCACUAUCUUCUUAUGCUGCUUUUCGACUGAAGGCAUUACAAAACCUGUGUGAACAUCUUCAGGAGUUGGAAAGCCAACUGGGUGCGGACUCUAUCAAUAAGAAUGCAAAUAAAUAUCCAGAAGAUGUAACAAAUGGAGUGCUUGAGGCUCCUGGUGCAGAUGACACUAACAUCUGUGGGGGAAUUAUUCAGUUGCAUCAGAAUAGUACUUUGAAAAGAUGCUUGUAUGUGAAUUAAUGAACAAGUUCUUCAGUCUGCUUUUGAGGUAUUCUUCUUUCUUUGAAAUCCAUUUGGGGCAUGGCCUCCAGAUGUCAUGUAAGUCUGCCCAAUCCAUUGCAAGCAACCAAACUACAGUAUCAGGAAAUGUGAGACAAAAAUCUGAUGGAAAUUCCAUGGCAUUUGUUAGGACAGGAAUAUCUCAAAUAACAGGCUUAUUCGAGGAAAUCAUGUUUCAAGAAACAAAUUUAUGUACUCAAUGAUGCAGAAAUUUGAGUCUGGUGGCUGGAAUUAUUCAUCAGUUAGCUUUCUUCUAUGAGUAUCUGAAUAUCAUGCAUAUGCUAGAUUGUAAUUUAAUCAGCAUUGGUGCGGAAAAGUAUAUCUCCUUUUUCCAGAUAUCGCAUGGAAAUUCUUGCAUCUCUUUCAUUUAUUUGCCCUGAUGAGCCUCUUUACUUGAUUUAUGAUAUCAAUCGAGUAAUAUAAGUUAGGGCUGGAUCUCUUGUAAAAAAUAUGAAAAUCUGGAUUUCCUUCUCACAGCUAUGGUAUUCUUUAAAGCUCCAUAGCAAAAAUCUAAAUAUGGAUGCUGAAUCUAGGGUGAAUCAUUUAUCUAAGCAUAGCAUGAUAACGAAUCCUGAAAGCAUGUCUAAUAUUGCAUGUAUUUCAAAAGAGGAUCUAUAAAAGUUUCAAGUGAUCACACUUUCUAUUUCUUUCAGUCAGUUAACAGUUGCAAUGGUUUUGACAGAUGCUAAGCAUUCAAAUUUUCUGUUUGCUUCUAUUAAUUUUCGGUGUUUGGCUUCAGAAGGAUGAGAAUCAACUGCACAUUGAACCAUUGUCUCUGUUUUUGUCAAUGGGCUAUUUAUAUUGAAGCUUCCAUUUCUAUGUUGCUUUCAUAUUUUUCCCAUAUAUGAUUUAAUGUGGUUUUGUUCUUUUAUGGAAGUCGCGGAUUGUCAUUUGGCCAUAAUCGUAGUGCUAUUUUAUUGUUAUCUUAGUCUCAUUUACAAAUUAUUUACUAUUGGUUAUUGACAUUUUGUUUGUUUUUUCAGGCUAAUUGCCAUGAUGCAAUAGCUCUGCAACUCCUGAAAUAAAUGAUGCCCGGUGCUAGGCUUGUUCUUUUGUUAACUUAGUAGUCAUUUCUUGCCUGUUCUUUGUAGCUGCAGAGCAUGUACAUCAAAUUAUCUUGAGCCAGUUAAUGAAAUCUCUGUUUCUUUCCAAAUUAGGCAUUUUCUCUAAAGGAACAUCCAAAGCAUGGAGAUAUGAUAUCUAAACAAAAUAUUUCCUUCAACAUCCAUGAUGCUCCAGCCAAUUUGCCUACUUCCUAUGAAUAUAUGGUUCAAAAAUACCGGGUUUGCCACUAAAACUUCAGAUUUCUUUAUUUACACCCUGUAUUUCUGCACUACCAAUAUUAUAGUCUCAUAUUUUUCACCAUGAAGUGUUUGGAACUUCUGGACAUUUGGUUGUCGUUUUUCCUAUCUAAUGUUGAAAACCUAUUUUGUUGGACAUAAAUCUAUCAAUAAUUUGGUCAGUCUUCAGCUUCACAUUAAUGUAAAUAUGCUUUCAUUUUAUUGGCUAAUUAGUCAUAUAACUAUAGAGCAAUACUUGGGUGAAAAUAUUUCAUGUUGCAUUUCCCUUUUCCCAACCAUGGCCCUGUUAAUGACUGGGCUUUAGAUGUUUAAAUCUAUCAUCUUGUAGUGUUGAGCUUUUCUCGUGCCCCUAACAAUAAAAAAAGAUUCCAGAUUGCACUAUGCAGGAGUUCGAGUGGUUGCUUUAGGAAAGAUGCUAUAAAUUAUGCUCCAUGCACAGCUAAUGUCAAGAGGAAACGCCCUACUCCAAAAAGUUUGAGAGAUGGAAAAGGACUGUGGGAUAAAGGUGAAGAUGAUGAGCAUGGACAAGAUGAUAAUGAUGAUUGGACAGGAGGGCCAUGAAGGAUCGACUUUAGCAACUAAAUGAGCAAUGGUGGCAGGUUACCAGACGGUGAUGGUAAUUUUAACAGGUUCAGCAUUACCGUACAUCAUAGGAUUCUAGUGAAAUGGGAGGGUUGGGGUGGGGAACUGUUCAAUAGUGUCAAUAGCAAUGACUAGGAAGCUUGAUUGUAGGGUCCCCUUUUUUUCUUUUUUUAUGGUAGCAAGACUAUUCAACUUGUGCUCCAGUUUCAAAGUGAUCAAUUUUUUUUUCUGGUA